rnacentral:rRNA from 1 species
AAUAAGUGACUGAACCCAAGGGGAGGCAAGUCGUAACAUGGUAAGUGUACCGGAAGGUGCACUUGGUAAAAU